rnacentral:rRNA from 1 species
CUGGCCCUUUGGGCAAUAUGUGCACACACCUCUGGUCACUUGUUUCUUCUGCUCCACCUGUGCACUGCCUGUAGACACGCUGUGUCUAUGAUAUUUGUUACACACACAAUGUUAUGCAUGUUGGUUGGCAUAUUACAUGUUAUAUAAUAAAUAUACAACUUUCAACAACGGAUCUCUUGGCUCUCGCAUCGAUGAAGAACACAGCGAAAUGUGAUAAGUAAUGUGAAUUGCAGAAUCCAGUGAAUCAUCGAAUCUUUGAGCGCAUCUUGCGCUCCUUGGCAUUCCGAGGAGCAUGCCUGUUUGAGUGUCAUUAAACUAUCAAAACACUUUUCUAGAAGUGUUUUGGACUUUGGGAAUACUCUGCUGGUCUGUUUGAGCCAGCUCUCCUCAAAAGCAUUAACUUUGGAGACCAUCAGUGUGAUAAUUUGUUUAUGCGCUGGCUUCUCCUUUUUUAAAUGCCCCUUUGACCUCAAAUCAGGUAGGACUACCCGCUGAACUUAAGCAUAUCAAUAAGCGGAGGAAAAGAAACUAACAAGGAUUCCCCUAGUAACUGCGAGUGAAGCGGGAAAAGCUCAAAUUUGAAAUCUGGCAGUCUUUUUUUUCUUCUUUGGCUGUCCGAGUUGUAAUCUAGAGAAGUGUUACCUGCACUGGACCAUGUAUAAGUCUCCUGGA